AAUAUAAAGUGACAAGUUUAUUCGCAUUGAGCUGACUCAUACUAAAUGAAGCCUUUGAUAUGCACAGAGGACUAAGUUCUUUCAAUCUUAGUUCUCGAACCUACUACUACGCCCCUUAAUAGACACACCUUAAUCAACUUUAUAUUUGCACUGAAAGAAAAUAUAUAUGAACUUGUUGUUUAUUAGUCGAAAGAAAGUACCUAUCUCUAGAAACUAGAAACAAAAGAAAAAAAAUAAACAAUAUAUUCGAUAGGAUAUCAUAUUCCAGCUCUGCAUCCUCCUUCACUUGUUUAUCCAGCACACUCACUGUAGGAUGGGAUGGCUGGUAUUCUUCACUUAUUCGAUGGCGUAGACGGACGGCACUUUACUUUUUUUUUCCUUAAACUGAAAGUGCUUUAAACUCGUUGAUGUAUCGUGUUGCUUAUUGUACUACGUACAUGUGCAUAGUUGUUGUUGUUCCAUUGAAGGCCAAGAGUGUGAGGGGCUUACUUCUAAGAGAGAAUUGUUCAAGUGGCCAGGCCAGUCCAAGUCCAGUCCAGUCCACUAGUCGAGGCGCUUGAAGCGGUACUCUAACAAAUGACGAAGCUGACGACUUCUACGAGCAAGUUGAUUAUGAGAAGAUGAUUACGAUGUUCAUCUGAUCGCCUUCUUUGCCAAUUCGAUUUGCCAACAUUGACUGACGCGACGAAGAUGACAAUAACAACAACAACUGUUCCAUUAUGUUCAUACCUAGCAUGUUGAUGAAAGAUGAGAUGAGUGUUCUUUUGGUUAUGUCGUGUAGGGUAGGGUAGAGUAUACGUCGUCGUAUGAGUACGAAUUGUAUCAGUUUUAACUAGUUAGUCUAUAAAGUCUUGUAAUCGCUCUCGUUGUCUGUCUAUUUUUCUAACGGAUGUUUCUUCUUUUUUAGUUUUUUUUGUGUUUUUUUGUAACAGCUUUUUUCUUUGUUCUUUUUAAUUCUCCUAGUUGAGAGUCCUGGGUUUUAUUAAUUGCUUAUCCUUGCGGAAUGUGCAAUAAGUUGAUUCUCCUCAUAUUCUCAUAAGAGAGUAAUAAUUCCCUACUGCUGGUUGGUUGGUUGGGUGGUUUCAAUUGGAAUCCUUUUGUUCUUUUACUUAUUCCUCGUUUCAUUGUCGUCUUUAUUUACAUUUUCUCAUUUUUCGUUAUGUUUCUUUAUGUCUACAUGUGUAUAUCUAUGUCUACAGAACUUCAGCUACAGCUACAGCUACGGUACGAACUUCGAACCCAUAACAAAAACAACUAAAAAAAAACCCUACAGAGAAAAACAAAUUGAAGCAUUGCAGGGAUGACGUAAUUGCAUGUCAUGAAUGGGGUGUGUGGAAGGUGGAACUUAUGUGUCGCCGGUUGUCAGACGUUGUAUCCAAUAUGUCCACCAACUCUUCCAGCUCUUGCCACUACUCCAAACGAAAUGAAACCCUUAUUUUUGUAAUUUCAAAAAAGGGAACAUGUGCUGUUGGUGUAAAUAAUGUAAACUCUAAGGAGAAGGAAAGUGAGGAUGAAGGUGGUUAAAGGGGGUGGAAUCGGUGAAGAAGGAGGGUAGACAGAAGGCAGACAGACGGCACGGGUGUGGUCCUACAUUAAAUCAAAUUUAUUUAGAAAGGUCAACACUAUUCCCAGAGCUUUUGUUCUUUGGUUUUGGUUUUGUUUUUUUGAUAUUUUAUAUUUUUAUAUUGUUUCAAAAAGAUAGCGAGACAAAAGAACGGAAUAUAGAUUGCUUUUAUCUUUA